UCUGGUAAACUCGUCCACGUCGGCACCACCGCUAGACCCAUCUGGAAUCAGAUAUUGCACUUUGCCUUUUCUCUUCGGUUUCCUUUAUUUUCCUUCUACCCUCUAAAAUGUAAAAAACCAAAGUUUUUUUCUUACUUCCCAAACAGCCCCCGAUUUCCACGCAAAUAUUUGAAAAUCUCUACAGUUUUUACUCUUUCAUUUCCGAUCCAAACAAUCAUCUCUGAAAAGUCAUUUCUUAUUAUUUUUAAAUCCCUAUUUUCAAGGCCAAAAGCAAUAAAUAUGGGUCAAGAAGUGAAGAUGAGGGACUUUGAAGCUAACGGCGGAGACGAUGAAGAAGCAACCGCAAACGCCAUCACCACCAUCGUUGAUGACGACGACGACGAUGUUGAAGAAAGAGUUAUCGAAUGGGAGAUGGGAUUACCUAACUGCGACGAUUUAACUCCAUUAUCCCAAUCCUUAAUCCCGCCGGAACUUGCCUCCGCUUUCAGCAUCUCGCCGGAGCCUCGUCGGACCACUGUUGAUGUCAACCGCGCUUCUCGCAAUACUCUCUCUUCUCUCCGCUCUACCGGGGCCCACUCCUCAACCACCAAUAACAAUAACAGUAAUAGCAAUUUCCGUGAUACGAUAGUGGUUGAAGCGGAAGGAUAUGGGUCGGGGUCGGGCUCCGGAUCUGACCCGAAGAAGAUGAGGAAGAUGGAUAUUGCAGAGGAAGCGGAUUCAGCGGUUAGGACGACGGAGAACUCGGACGAUCCGUCGGGGAGGACAUUGAAACGACAGCGUUUAGUGUGGACGCCGCAGCUGCACAAGAGAUUCGUUGAUGUGGUGGCUCAUCUAGGGAUUAAAAGCGCGGUUCCCAAAACAAUCAUGCAGUUAAUGAACGUGGAAGGCUUGACCCGCGAGAACGUCGCCAGUCAUUUGCAAAAAUAUCGGCUUUACUUGAAGAGAAUGCAAGGGUUAAGCAACGAAGGCCCUUCAGCUUCCGAUCAGCUUUUUGCAUCAACACCGGUGCCGCAGAGUCUUCACGAGACUGGAAGUGGUGGCGGUGGAGGAGGAGGAGGAAGUGGUGGUGCUGGUGCCAAUGGGAAUGGGCAUUUGGGUAUGGCUAUACCGAUGCCUUAUGGGGCACCAAUGAUGCCGGUACCGAUGCCGAUGUGUGGACAUGUGGGGAUGCAUCAAGGAUUGUAUCAUCAACAAAGACAACAUCACCAUCAGAAUGGGUACGAAGCGAACUCCUAUGGGAUGAUGCAGCAGAGAGACUGGUCUGGUGGGAAUAGAUAUGGUUCCCAAUGAUAAAUUAAAUUAGCUAGAUUUUUGUACCAAGGUCAGUCUUUUUCUUUCAUUUAUGCCUGUUAGUUACAAUUUUUGGUUAUCAAAGGAACUUCCUUUUGCUGAGAAUUGAAUUGUAGCAUGCUAAUUUGCUUCAAAACCUUUGUUUUAGAUCUUUGCUUGGGUGUUUUGGGGUUGGAAUGGAACCGAAGCUGGGUUAUUUUUCUUCGAUUACUAGGAAUAGAUGUGACAAUAUGAUUUAAACAGGAAUAUGAGGCAAUAAUUUCAUAGUUGUAUUCUUUUUGACAGAGAAGGAAUCACUUUUUUGUUCUUAGGCUUGAUUAUGACUGAUGCCUAUUCUCAUUCUGCAUAUAUCUAGUUCAUUGUCCUGAUACUGACUUAAUUGGUAAGCAAUUCCUUUUCACUAGAAGAAUAGACGUUUUUCUUGGUAGUUUUGUUUGUAAUCGAGCUUGUACGUAGCUCAGCACUAUGUUUAUUGGAUUCUGACUUUGUGCUGCUCUGCAGUGCUUUUGGUAUUUCUGAGUUAAUGUUAUACAGUUGUAUCAAUGUACUUUAGAACCCCAACUGUCUGUUUCAUUUACUUGUUGAAUUGCAAACUUUAUCCAACCCUUUUUAUGCUUUUCACCUACAAUGGCUUCAAUCUUCCUUAUUUUCUUUCUCCAAGCUUUCCGCUCACAGUAUUAGUUUAUUUAGCUCGACUGGUGAAGUGGUUUUGCACUUGUUGCUCCUCGCUAUACUGAUUCAGAAAAUUUUGAUCAACUUGGUGUUCACUUGAAUGAACAUGUGAAAGAGAUAAACAAACCUCUCUCACUGGAUAGCAGAAAGAAGUUGCUGUCUGUGCACAUAUUUCAGCUUCUAUCUUCCUCUAUUUACUUGAUAGCAGCAGCAGGAAGCACUCCCAGAAGUUCACUCAUCUUCUACCAUAGAUUAGGUCAAGUUCCUAAAAUUUUACGUUCUUGUUAAUUUUAUUCAUAAUUACCAUUAACUUGUAUCAAACUUUCUUUAUUUUCGGCCAUUAAACAAAAAUGCAAGGGAAAAAAAAAAAAAGCUAAGCGAAAGUCCACCACUUAUCAUCAA